rnacentral:rRNA from 1 species
UGAAGUCUCCUGGAACGGAGCGUGAAACAGGGUGACAACCCCGUAAGAUGAGUCAGUACGGAUGGCGUCAAAUCCAGAGUAGCAGGGGUCGGAUAUCCUCUGUGAACAUCUCAGGCAUCCCCUGAGAAGGCUAAACACUCCUCGAGACCGAUAGCGAACAAGUAGCGUGAGCGAACGCUGAAAAGCACCCCGAAAAGGGCGGUGCAAUAGGGCCUGAAAUCAGCUGGCGAUCGAGCGACAGGGCGUACAAGGCG